CCUCUCUCUCUCUCUCUCUCUCUCUCUCUCUCUAUUCUGGACUUUCAUCUUCUUCGUCUGAUUUUCUUCGAUCUUUUUGAUCUCUUAUGAGUGAUCUAGCUAGAAUAUUAGUUGAAUCUAUGGGAUUCAUGUUGCUACAGUAAUCAAGCCUGAAAUAUUGGCUGAUUUGGUGUUUGUAGUGGUUGGCAAAAAGUCAUGUUCCUAUUUUUGGUAAGGUUCUUGAGAUUUAAGAGAUCCAAGUGUGGAUCGAUGAUUAUCUCUAAGUCCAAUUCCGUCUUCAUGCUUGUACUCCAUUUGGAUGGUUUUUUUGUGCUUAGUAAUCGGGCUAAUCUCUGAGCCUCCAGAUUAGGCAAUUGCCGAACUAGGUGAACAAUUUAUCGCGUUCAUUUACUUUUCUUGCACUGUGUUUGAUGUUUCCUUUACAGUUUUCUUUAACAAUAAGUAGGAAGAAAGCCUAACAACUGGUAUUAGAGCCUUUGAGGUUCUUGGGGGUGCAAGUUUUUGAACCAAAAAUUGUUUGAGUUAAUUUUUCUUGGUCUGAUUUUUCUUGGGGUUGCCAAUUUUCUUAACAAACUGUGAGGCCAGCAAUAUUAGAUCAGUUUUUUAAUAUAAACUAAAAGAUCUAAUUCUUGUCUUUUCUGUAUUGUUGUUUUGGAAGGAAAAAGGUUGGUGAAAGGUGGUAAGACAACUACGGUCUACUUCCAGAAAUGAGGAGUUCUUUCUGUCCUCAAGUUGAGACCAGCAGUGUGUUCUUCUUUAUUGUUAAGACAGUCUAUGGUGAGUACGUUUUAAUUUUUUUUGCUUUUGUAGAGUAAUUUCAAUUCUUGAUAUUUGAUAUGAGAUAUAUACAUGUGAUACAUGGUAGAAUGGGUACUGUGAUUUGAAUUGGAUACUUCUGUUAGUGUGAGCAUAUUGCAUUAGAUAAGUUCUUCUAUAUAACUUGGUGUACUCACUCUGUAUCAAAUAUUAUUGUUCUUAUUUCAAAUUUGGUGAACAUAUAUCUGCGUGGAUUCUUGGAAUUUUUUCAAAACCAUUUUCUGCUCACUAGUUGAUCUUUAAUUCAAGAUUAAAACUAUGUCCAUGAGUAUAGGCUACCCUUUUACAAAACUCGUGAUGGGUUCGAAGGUCGAAUUGUCUAAAUUCGAUGGAAAGGAGGAUUACUCUAUAUGGAAGCAGAAAAUGAGAGCUAUUUUGGUUCAACAGAGUGUCGCUAAGGCCCUUUAUGAUCCUAAAACUUUUUCUGCAGAACUUAAGACAAAACCAAAUGAAAUUGAAGACAUGAAUGAAAUUGCUUAUAGUUCCAUAAUUUUACAUUUGUCUGAUAACAUUGUAAGGCAAGUUGAUGAACCCAAAACUACUAGAGCCCUAUGGACUACUCUUGAUGCUAUGUUCCUAACUAAAACACUUCCAAAUAAAAUUUUUCUCUUGGAGAAGCUGUUUAACUUUAGGAAAGACCUUGAGAAGGACUUAGAGGUAAAUUUGAGUGAAUUUAGUAUAAUAGUGAAAAGCCUUGCACACAAUGAGAAAAAAUUUGAUGAUGAAGACCUUGUUGUAAUCCUGCCAAACUCAUUACUUGACUCAUAUAAAAAUGUUUAAAAAAAAAAAAAAAAUACUCAAGGGAUAAACUAACUCAAGCUAUAGUCAUUGAUGCUUUGAGGCCUAGGUAGUUAGAAGUCAAAAUGGAAACUAAAUCUAAUCCUAGAGAUGAAAGCAUGUAUGUAGGAAGAAGACCUGUAAAGAGAGAGUAAUUUUUCCACAAAGAAGGGAAAAGGGAAAUUCAAAACCAUAUCAAAAUUUAGAGAUAAAAGCAACAAGAAGUGUUACAUUGUGGAAAAUUGGGACACUUCAAAAGGGAUUGCUUUGAACCAAAAAGGAAACAAAGAGAUCUUAAUAAUGGGGAGUUAAAUAAUAACACUAUGGAAGCUGGGGUUGACAGUCUCUAUGGUGAGGAAGUUAAUAAAGAUUGGUUAUUAAAGUCCAAGUGUACCUUUCACACGUGCCCUAUAAAAGAUUGGUUCCAUAAUUACAAAGAAAUAGAACCGAGGAAAGUGUACUUGAGGGAUAAUAAUUCACAAACUAUUGUUGUAAUUGGAAAUAUUGCCAUAAAAAUGCAUAAUGGCACUGUCAAGUCAAUCUUGAAUGUAAGAUAUGUUUCUAAUCUGAAAAGAAACCUAAUAUCCUUAGGGAUUCUUGAAGAUGAAGUACAUACCUUCAAGUCUGACAACAAAGUAUUAAAAAUAAUGAAAGGUUCACUUGUUGUGAUGAAAGGAUAAAAAAUAGAUGGGUUGUACUAGCUUGAAGGUAAAGCGAUUAAUGUUCUUGAUUCCAAUCUACCCACCGUUACUGAGAAUAAAACUGAAUUGUGGCACGAAAGAAUGGGACAUAUUGGGAAUAAAGGGUUUUAAAAUCUUUAAGUAAUCAAAGGUUGCUUGGAAAAGAUUUUGUUGAAACCAUAGAAUUUUGUGAAACCUGUGUUCUUGGAAAAUCUCACCGGAUGAACUUUGAAACAGGUUCACAUGUUACUAAGAAACCCUUAGAUUAUGUCCAUGCCGACUUAUAGGGGCUUGAAAGUCACCCCACUUUUGGUGGCAAUAGAUAUUUUUUUUCAUCUAUUGUUGAUGAUUAUUUUAGAAAAGUGUGGGUCUUUUCUUUUAAAGGCUAAGUCUGAUACCUUUCAAAAAUUCAGAAUAUGGUUGAAAAUCAAUUGGAUAAAAAAUUUAAAAUCUUAAGGACUGACAAUGGUCUUGAAUUCUGAAUUUCAAAACUUCUGUAAACAGAAAGGUAUCUUGAGACAUAGGACUGUCAAAAACACCCCCAACAAAAUAGGACCUUGAUGAAUAAGGUCAUAUGCAUGCUGAUCAGUUCAGGGCUUACAAAAGGGUUCUGGACUGAAGCAGUGUGUACAGCUACUUAUCUAAUUAAUAGAUCACUUUCAAGUUCCAUUGGACUUAAAACACCCCGGGAAUUAUGGUCUGUCAAAAAACUAGACCUGUCUAAUACCAAGGUAUUUAGGUAUGCUGCUUGUGCACGUCAAGUUGAAGGGAAGUGAGACCCAAGGGCAACAAAAUGUAUUAUGUUGGGUUACUCUGAAGGUAUAUAUUUUAUGUGGUUAUAAUAUUAUACUAGUAUCGAUAUAAUACCAAUCAUGACAUAUAUUUUAAAAGUUUAGUAAAGAACAAAUUACUAUUAAGUAGUAAAGUAUAUCCCUCUAUAAUACACAACAUUGACUCUUCUAGUUUAUGUUUGGUUCUAUCUUUAGACUAAAGGAAAACCAAGCCCGACAGAAUAAGCAUUUGAAAGCUUUUAUAACAUGUUAAAAUUUAAUUGGAAUAUUUUUAACUUUUUAUCAAAUACAUCCCAUCAAAAUAUUGAACAAAAAUAAACAUCUGUGAUACACCGAUAAUAUGUUAUUCCUAAACAACAAAAAUAAAUUCGUGGCAUGUUUCAAAUUCUAGUGGUCAAAUGAAAUCAUAAGAGAAUUAUCAUUAACAAUUAUGAGAAGUCUUACAGAAGCAAUUUCUCUUCAUUCACCAUGCAAAUAUGAUCUAAAGUCCAAUCUAACUAUCAACUAAAAUACGUUAGAAUAUAAUAAAGAGACUUCAUUUUGCAUGUUCAUACGUAUAAACACAUUCCGAUUUCAAAUAUUCAAUCCAAUGCAACGCCAUGGAUAUUUUUCAAAGAAUAAAUUUGGGAACAAAGAUUGAGAAGAAAAUUCCUUUGUCGCCAGAUAAGGAUUGGCAUUUCCCGCAUCACAAUUUUUUUUUUCUUUUCAGACAAAAAAUUGUUUAUUGAUCAACGAGAAAAUAAAGCUUUUGCAUAAUUAUUAGGCGAGAUUAAAUUGCACGGUAUUCUUUUAAAAUAUUUGCAUGCACAGGUCACGAUUCUUCAAGAAUAUAACUAUAUUUUUUCGAUUAUUAAUACGAUAUUUAAUUAUAUCAUAUUUAGUUAUUCUUUUUUCAGGAUUGUAAAAUAAUUAAACAUUAUUAGAAAUUAUAUGAUAUUUUCAAGAUUUAUGGUAUUUUAGGAGCACAACAUGAUAUUUUUAUAAAAUUAAAACUUAUAAAGUAAUGCUCUUUUAAGAGCAAUAGCACAUUUUUCCCCUUAUUAUUUGAAUUUGUGUUUCUUCAAGAGCAAUGAAAUAAAUGUUUUUUAAAUAAUAAUUUCUUCUUGAAUAUUGAUUUUAUAUUUAUACUAUUUCAAGAGUAGUAAUACAAGGGAAGUGUUACAUGUACAUAAUUGUUUACUUAAUGAUAUUCAGAAUUACAUGUGGCAUUGGAUGUAACCUUUAAUACAAAUCUCACACUUGCACAUCAACAAUCAGAUAAUUGCCACAUCAUAUUAUGGACACAAUUAUGUGUAAUAAUUAUGUACAAGUAGAAUUUUCUAGUAAUACAAUAUUUUUUGUAAUAUUGCCAAGAGCCCUAUCAAUCGGUAUAACUAAAAAAAUAUUUACCACUUUGUUUUAUAACUCAAAGUUGAGAGAAUACUUACAUUUUCUUUAAAUGAAAAGAAGAUUUUCCUUAUGAACUCAAUUAAUUCUCUAACUCAUCCAUCAUGUCAAGGCCAAAUUUGAUUUGUCAAUCCUCCUUAGAAAUCGGUGACUAAGGUGGGAAUGCUUGCGUGAAUAAAAGGAAAUUCUUUUAAGCUGAGCAGCAGCAUUAGCCUCUUCAAUGACAACUUUUGAUGAAACAAAACUAAAAAAGCCUAUUUGCCCUCGACGAGAAUUCACCCAGCCAUUUAUAGAGUGGUAAAGGAAUCUCGUCAUGCAUCACGAAUUAGGUGGCAAAGUGGUAUGAUGAGAACAAAUGGUAGAAAUGGCUAGGAAUUUUGUCCUAUUUCUAUUUCCCUUAUGUGCAUAUUUUAUUGAGAAUUAAAUUUCUAUAUUUAUGUUAAAAAAAUAAAGGUGCAAGGAAUAAUUGUUAUAAUAAUUUGGACCAUAGGGAUACAAUGAUCAUUCACUAAUUAUUAUUUAAUUUAGAACAUUUAGGUCCAUAUAUAAUUACAAAGUUUAUUUUUAUAGAGAGCAAGUAAAAUACUUCAUUACUAGGGUGUUGGAUGAAGAACACAAUGCAAGAUGACAAAUCUAGAUCAAUCGGAGGAGCAUUGUGAAGAUUGAGCUUUUAUUAAAUAAAAUUGAAUUUUAAUUCCAUUUAUUUUGGUUGAAUUAUGAAUAUUAUGGCUUUUAAUUUUUGUCAUUAUCUUUUUGGUUUAUUAAUUAUCUAAAUUCUAGUUAAUUUUUUAAAAUAAGGGUGUAAGCCAUUACGGCAAUAUGUUAUUUUUGGGGAAAAAAAUUAUUAUAGAUUUUGGAGUUUUUCAUUCUCUUAAAUUUUAAUUAUUUGAUAUUAAAAAUUAACGAGUCCAAAUUUUUUAUAUUUGUACAUAAACCGAAAAGUUUUUGAUGCCUAAAUUUUUGGUAUUCUUAGAAAUAAAUAGAAAUUAGAGGGUGAUCAUGUUGCGAUAUUCAUUUGAAAUCAAUGAAACUUCAAUAGUGUGUUCAUUUAUUUAUUUGUAUCGCUUCCAUCUACAUCAAAAACUAAGUUUGAUCUUCCCCUACACUCUCCAAAUUGUAAUAACGGCUCUCGAUGAAGCGAGCCAAAUGUUUUCUAAGGUCUUUUCAUCGAUUGAAAAUGGCACCUAGCCCAUAAACAUGCGUAUUUAUAGAUUAUAUUCAUCAUUGAAUUAUAAUGGGUCUACAUCUAUCCAUUAUAUUAAUGAGAAUCAGGAUAACUCGGCCUCCGAGCAUUUUUAAUCUACCGUCCAACUUGUUUUAGUUAAUUAAGGUCCCAUCAAUUUAGCAUAACAUAGAAAAAUUCCCAAAAAAAAAAAAAAAAAAAAAAAAAACCAUGUUGUUGUCAAGUGUAAUUUGCAUUAAUAUUCAAUGGUACCUUUCUACAUUUAUGAAGAUAAUAGGAAGACGUUCAAAUUCAGAGAAUUGCAGCCGUAUUAGCAGGAUACCGUAAAUAAGUAUUUUGAUUAUUGCAAUACAGAAUGUAAUAAAAAAAUUGUAGUAGCAGUUUUUUCGCAUGUGCUAGAAGGAUGGCUCGAUAAAGCCAUUAGCGUUGAAUAAGACUAAAGUGUCGAUAUAUUUGACAAAGUGAGGUGGAAAUUUAACUUUCGGCAAAAGCUUUACGAUAAACUUCGUAACGUUUACUAAUUUCAUUGAGAAUUAACCAAAUUUUCAUUUCUCAUCUCUUAACUUACAACUGCAGGACAAAAGUCAUUUUUGGAGAUUUUCCUGUGACCUUAUGUAAAAUGUGUGUAAAGAAUUUUAACAACACAAUUUAUACUAGUAAAGUCCAAAUUCAAUUGGCCAAAGUCACAACUAAAAGAGGACUUGAAUGAGGUAAAUAAUUUUAAAGGGACAUUUUACUGUUACACUAAAAGUCUAAAUUGAUAACAAAAAAUUGUAUAAUAAAGAAGAUGAGGGACUUGUCUUGCAAAUUUCCGUUUAGUGCUCAAUUGAAUUGGUGCCGUUUCUUUUGUUGAGAAGUGAAAGAAACCGUGAAAGAAGAAGAAGAAGGCCGGCAAGGUGAUUGGGAAAUGAUUGAUAUACACAACUUAAGCUUAGUUUCUUCAAUUUCCUGAGAAAGCAAGAAAUUUACUUAUUGAAAAGUUGUGUUAAAUUUUAGAACUUUUAGAUUCUUAGCUUAAAUUCGAAAUUUUGAAAGAGGAAUGAUUGAUUUAAGUGUAAUAAGCAAUUUAUUUAAGUUAAGAAAAGAAAAUAGCAGUUUAAAGUUUUAGGUUUCUUGAGCUAGUUGAUAACCUCAUUGCAUCCCGCACAGUGCUUUUGAGCAUGCAUAGUGUCCGCCCCAUUUUUACUUUCAUAUUUUAUGUAUCAGGUAAUUUGGUUAAAAGCGAACCUGUAUUACUCAAGAUUUAAUGUACAAUAUUGCUAAUUUUAUUUUGCUUUUCAAUGUGUGAUCCCUGGAUGCAGAUAUUAAGUUCAGAGUAGUAUGAGCUUGUAACAAAAUCGCUUUUGGAUCAUGUGGAAGAGAAGGGAAAAAUUGUUGAUGAUGAUGGAAACCUUAACCAUGCUCUCAUCAAAAAGUAAAUUUUUGAAGUAUCAUAUGUAGAUUUCCUAAUCAUAUCCAGUAAGGCUCUCACUAUAUACUUGUCUUUGCAGAGUAAUUGAUGAAACCGAUACAUAUAGAGACGGAAAUAUAACAAGAGAAUCGGCAGAGUUGUUGAAAAAACUCGUGCCAGGGAUGUCCGACAGUGAUAUAGACGCAACUGUUUUUAAAUCAAUGGAAAAUUUUGAUCACGACAAAGACAAUAAAAUCAACCAACAUAAAUUCAAAAAAGCAUGUGAAUAAUUAUUUGAAGAUGGUGACUUCUUUACAAGAGAAUUUUCGGAUGAGGCAAGCUCCCUAAUUAAUGCAAAUUUUAAAACUAUCGAUACUAAUACAAGUAUCUCGUGACAGUUUUAUUAGCACGAUGUUGUUUCUGUAAAUGCAUUUAGGGUCCUAUCAUAGUUUUCUUAUAAAGGAUGAACCAAAAAUAUCCAAAUUUUUUAUUGUAUUCUAUCCCUAGUAAUUUUACAUAAUUCACCAACAUUUAUUGAACACCAUGUUGUUGUCAAGUGCAAUAUGCAUCAAUAGUAGUUUUUGAAAUUAAUUAUAAAUACAUUCCUUAUUCGGGUUG
rnacentral:lncRNA from 1 species